rnacentral:tRNA from 1 species
UGGUGUUAGCUCAGUGGUUAGAGCACCCACUACCAAUGUACGAAGUCAUGGGUUCGAGUCACCAUGGGGGUAG